CGAUAUCCAAUGCGAACUUUUAAAAAAAAUAAAUAGUGUUUUUGAUUUUGUGUCACAUAGAUCACUUGUAUGUAGUUAUUAAAUAAUAUAUAAUAGCUAGAGAAUUGUUAACGUUUCCAGUGUCAAAGAGUGUUCGUUUUAAACUGUUUAAUUCUGGAUUUAUAAUCUUCAUGAACUUGAAAAUAACUUAACGAACUUGCCAAACUUUGUUAUCGAAGUUCGUUGGUGUUUAUAAAAUAUUUAUAAGAAUGAAAAAGGUUAUCAAAAACUCAAGUUUUCUCCAUAGAAGUUGGAUUGUCUGCAGAAAAGGCAGACUUGGUCUGAGUGCAGUUGAAGUUUUAAAAAUUGAAAAAUAUCUGAAUCCGAGCGCAACACUUGAUAGACUUUUAAAAGGUUGAAUGCUACUGAAGAAAGUUCCAGAAAUGUGUGGCUCAUCCGGAUCAGGAAAAACAAAAUUUUGAGACAUGGCAGUAGAGAUAUUGUUCUUUCUGAGGCCCAUUUAAAGAUGUAUGGGAUGGAGGAUUUAACCCUGAGCAUUUAUACACAUAUGCACACUUCUAUUUUAAAUCAGAUGACCAGUCCUUGACCAUCAUCCUUAUGAUCUGGAUAUCUUUAGGAUAAUCAUUUAUUUGGCUACAUGAAGAAACACAACUGUGAGUAGCAGUUUUUAUGCAGUGGAAAAGGCCUUGUUCGGAAAACCUAGAGCCAGAUUUCCUUAAAAUGAUUUAAUGCAAUGUGCUAAGAAAUGCUUUGACUUCUAAGAUUUCUUUUCUGAAUGAUUCUGUGUUCCAUUUUCCAAGCAUAAUACAUUUUUUUUUUCAUCUAAGGUUGGUGCAAUGUUGUUCUAUCAAAAAUGUGUUCAUAUUUUUCUUUUUUAUUGCAUGUAAAAAAUUUGCUUUCUCUUUUAUACAUCUUACUCCUCUUCAGAACUUUAAUAUGUUAUGAACUAGAUUUUAUUAUGAUAUUUGUACUUUGUUUAUAAAACAAGAAGAAGAAAAAUAUAUCAAGAAUAAAUGCUAAAAAA